rnacentral:rRNA from 1 species
UACGGAGGGUGCAAGCGUUAUCCGGAAUCAUUGGGUUUAAAGGGUCCGUAGGCGGUUUUGUAAGUCAGUGGUGAAAGCCCAUCGCUCAACGGUGGAACGGCCAUUGAUACUGCAAGACUUGAAUUAUUAGGAAGUAACUAGAAUAUGUAGUGUAGCGGUGAAAUGCUUAGAGAUUACAUGGAAUACCAAUUGCGAAGGCAGGUUACUACUAGUGGAUUGACGCUGAUGGACGAAAGCGUGGGGAGCGAACAGG